CCUACGGGGGGCAGCAGUGGGGAAUAUUGGACAAUGGGGGCAACCCUGAUCCAGCCAUGCCGCGUGUGUGAAGAAGGCCCUCGGGUUGUAAAGCACUUUCAGUGAGGAAGAACGCCUGGUGGUUAAUACCCAUCAGGAAAGACAUCACUCACAGAAGAAGCACCGGCUAACUCCGUGCCAGCAGCCGCGGUAAUACGGAGGGUGCGAGCGUUAAUCGGAAUUACUGGGCGUAAAGCGCGCGUAGGUGGCUUGAUAAGCCGGUUGUGAAAGCCCCGGGCUCAACCUGGGAACGGCAUCCGGAACUGUCAAGCUAGAGUGCAGGAGAGGAAGGUAGAAUUCCCGGUGUAGCGGUGAAAUGCGUAGAGAUCGGGAGGAAUACCAGUGGCGAAGGCGGCCUUCUGGACUGACACUGACACUGAGGUGCGAAAGCGUGGGUAGCAAACAGGAUUAGCUACCCGGGUAGUC
rnacentral:rRNA from 1 species